rnacentral:rRNA from 1 species
UUUUAUUUGAGAGUUUGAUCCUGGCUCAGGAUGAACGCUGGCGGCGUGCCUAACACAUGCAAGUUGAGCGAUUUACUUCGGUAAAGAGCGGCGGACGGGUGAGUAACGCGUGGGUAACCUACCCUGUACACACGGAUAACAUACCGAAAGGUAUGCUAAUACGGGAUAAUAUAUUUGAGAGGCAUCUCUUGAAUAUCAAAGGUGAGCCAGUACAGGAUGGACCCGCGUCUGAUUAGCUAGUUGGUAAGGUAA